rnacentral:rRNA from 1 species
GACGAACGCUGGCGGCGUGCCUAAUACAUGCAAGUAGAACGCUGAAGGAGGAGGUUGCUUCCUUGGAUGAGUUGCGAACGGGUGAGUAACGCGUAGGUAACCUGCCUGGUAGCGGGGGAUAACGAUUGGAAACGAUAGCUAAUACCGCAUAAUAGCAGUUGUUGCAUGACGACUGUUUGAAAAGUGCAGUUGCACCACUACCAGAAGGAGCUGCGUUGUAUUAGCUAGUUGGUGGGGUAACGGCUGCCCAAGGCGACGAUACAUCGCCGACCUGGGGGGGGGGUCGGCCCCCCCUGGACUGAGACACGGCCCAGGCCCCUACGGGGAGCAGCCGUAAGGAAACUUCGGCAAUGGACGGAAGGCUGACCGAGCAACGCCGCGUGAGUGGAGAAGGUUCUCGGAUCGUAAAGCUCUGUUGUUAGGGAAGAACGAGUGUUAGAGUGGAAAGUUCACAUUGUGACGGUAUCUUACCAGAAAGCGACGGCUAACUACGUG